CAACAUUGUAACCUUAAAAAGAUACACCGUGUGAUAAUUUUAAAAAUUUUAGAAUGGCUGAUAAUGCACAGAUUGGCGGGGGGGGGGGGCGGGAACCUUCACUACACGUAGCUUUCUCACAAGACUUCUUAUACUUUCAGAUUACCAGUUAUUACUCAACAGUUAAAACUAAAUUCAGUGAAACAAUUUGCCUUGAGGACUUUCUGUGUGUACUAAGAACAAAUGUGUAUGAAUGACAGCUGGACAUACCUCAAUCUAGCAUGAAGCACCCAGGACUUCACUGCUCCCUUCGGGAGCACCAUCUGCUCAGGUGCUUCCCUGUUGACUCCUCAUGAUGAGAACGUUGCCCCUGGAUUCUACUUCAGGACCACAUAAGGAGGGACAUCUGCCAUUUCCUGAAGAGGCAAAUGAGAGGCUAAGAUGCUGAGCAGUGGCGGCGGCAGGCUCCUGGGGCUGGAGAGAAAAAUUGGAAUCCAGAUCAUGCGAAAGAGGGAAAUCCUAAUUAAAC
rnacentral:lncRNA from 1 species